rnacentral:lncRNA from 1 species
ACAAGCCAUCUUAGUCCACAGGCUCUUGUUCUACCUGUAUAAGUUGUACUGGCUAGUUUUAUGUCACUUUGACAUGGCUAGAGUCAUCAGAGGAAGUAACCUCUGUUGAGAAAAUGUAUCCUUAAGAUUGAGUUGGAGGUAAGGCUUUGGGGCAUUUUCUUAAUUAGUGAUUGUUGUGGGAGGGCCCAAACCAUCAUGGGUGGUGCCAUCUGUGGGCUGGUGGUCUUGGAUUCUAUAAAAAUGCAGAAUAAGCAAGCCAUUAAGCAGCACCCAUCCAUGGCCUCUGUAUCAGCUCCUGGCCCCAGGUUCUGGUGGGACAUGGAUGCCUGCCCUCACUGCUUUGGAUGAUGAACUGUUGUAAGAAACUGUGAACAAAAUAAACCCUUUUCUCCCCAAGGUGCUUUUGGUCAUAGUGUUUCAUCACAGCAAUAGUAACCCUAACUUACACAGUAGUGCUACAGGAGUUGUCUUAGGGUUUCUAUUCCUGCACAGACAUCAUGACCAAGAAGCACUUGGGGAGGAAAGGGUUUAUUCAGCUUACAAUUCCACAUUGCUGUUCAUCACUGAAAGACAUCAGAACUGGAACUCAAGCGGGUCAGAAAGCAGGAGCUGAUGCAGAGGCCAUGGAGGGAUGUUCUUUACUGGCUUGCUUCCCCUGGCUUGCUCAGCCUGCUCUUUUAUAGAACCGGAGACUGCCAGCCCAGAGAUGGUCCCACCCACAAGGGGCCUUUCCCCCUUGAUCACUAAUUGAGAAAAUACCCCACAGCUGGAUCUCAUGGAGGCACUUCCCCAGCUGAAGCGCCUUUCUCUGUGAUAUCCCCAGCCUGUGUCAAGUUGACACAUAAAACCAGCCAGUACAGGAAUGAACAUGCUGGUUGCCAAGUGUUUGAAUGGAAAGUCUUCUGAUUCUUAUAUCUUCAGAUUGUACCAGUGUGCAUUUAUAAGCAUAGCCAGUGACUCAGUGGCUCCUAACAUUAGUGGCUUCUAUACGAGGUUGUAUAUUAUUGAUCUGGAGUUUUUAAUCCAAAUAGCCAUGCCAUUGUCUAGAGCACUAAUAAUCCAUGUGGGGUUUUUCUAUAGCAGUGAUCUUCAACUUAGUGACUGCGACUCCUUUGGGGGUUGAAUGACCCUUUUAUAGGAUAUCAGAUAGUUUACAUUAUGAUCCAUAACAGUAGCAAAAUUACAGUUAUAAGGUAGUAACAAAAAUAAUCCUAUGGUUGGCUCACCACAGCCUCAGGAGCUGUAUUAAAGGGUUGCAGCAUUAGAAAGGUUGAGAGCCACUGCUUACAGUUUUAGAGAAUUUUUUAAGCUACUGUUUAUUUGGAGCUGAGGACGAAGCCAUACACGCGCUCAGCAUACACUUGAUUACUGAGCUGCGCUCCAGCCCCAUUAUUGAGUUUGCAUUCUUUAAGAGCCAGCUUAUUGCUUUAUUUGAACUCUUCUUUUACCUCUAAGUCCACUCUGUAACCAGCCUAAGGACUUGGGCAGCUUCCUUUGGAUUGUACCUAUUACCCAAAGCAAUCCGUGUGCUGCUAUAAACAAUUAAAAGCCCAAUAACACUUUUAGUGGAAGAAGUUUCAAUUUCUUUUGCUUAUUAAUAUCCCCAAUUCCUUUGUAUGGGCAUUUCCCAGUGGCUUUUUUGCUAUUAUUUACUAUGUUUUGUAGAUUGUUUGGUAAUUUCAUAAACGUACAUAGUGUGUCCUUUCUUUCCUUACUACCUCUCAUUGCCCCUUCUCAGUUCCCCACGACACCUCUAAGCAAGACCCCUGUCAUAUUUUCUUCUUCAUGUAUUACCCUUUCCUUUCCUUUCCUUUCCUUUCCUUUCCUUUCCUCCUUCCUUCUUCCCUUCACCUCCUCCUCCUCUUUUUCAACCUCCUGAAGUCAGUUAGUGCUGCCUGAUUGUGAUAUGUUGAUCUUGUGUGAGUAACCAUAGCUGCAGUGAGUUCAUGAGAGCAAUGGUCAUGUCGUAUUUAGAAAACAACAUUUUAUAUUCUUCCCUAUCUGUAGCUUUUCUAUUCUUUCCUCUCCCUCAUUUGAGAUGGUCCCUGAGCCCUGGGGAGUGAUUUGACAUAGAUGUACCUUUUGUGGGUGAGCAUAUAGCAGCAUAUAGCAGUAACUUACUCUCAGCAGUUUGACUACUUAGGAGUCAUCAUGCUGUCUCUUACCCAUUGCAGAAAGAAGCUUCUCUGACCAAGGUUGAGAGCAGCACUAAUCUAUAGGGCUAUGUAGAAGGCAGUUUGCCAAUAUGCCCAGUUCAAAAAACAACAACAAAACCUAGACUCCCUCUAGGGCCCAAGAUCCUAGAUCAUGGCUUCUUACCAGGUCCACAGUUCUGUCCUAUGGAGCAACCUUCAGAUCUCAUCAGAAGGUGAUUGUUUGCCUCUAUAAACUUCGUGCCACUAUUGUACCAGUGGGCACAACUUGUCUGUCAGGUUGGUACUCAGGGUACACCAGUGUGUAAUAUCUUUGGUGAUUUUUCUCCUCCAUCAGCAUACACAGUACCUUCUGGCACUAUAAAAGCUUAUAAAGUAGUGGGUUUCUAUAAUUGUGUGUGUGUAUAUAUAUGCAUAUUUAUGAAUAUAUAUAUAUGUAUAUAUGUGUGUGUGUAUAUAUUUAGUUAACUGGCUGUUUUCCCUCUUUGCCCAUCUUUUUAUAAAUAAACAAACAAAAAAUAAGUGUUAUCAUUCUUGUAUGUGAUUCUGCUUGCUUUCUCCCGCCUCUGUCUUAUACUUGCAUCUUUAGCUAGAUGUCUUUAUGUGUUCUUCAUCUUCUUUUAGCAGAUUUCUAUGCUGUUCUGGAGAAUGCAUUCUUCCUAAGACUUGUAACCUUUGAGAAUCUGUAGGUAUUUAUUUAAUACUAGCUACCAAUUUUUGUUUUAUUUGAGAAGUUGGUGGCUAUAGUUUGUAUAAUGUCACUG